AAUAAGUGAGUCGAAUCUGAACAGAAGUCUCUUUUAUUAUUGAGUCUAAUUACAUUUUAUUUCCUUUAGUUGUUAAUUGUUUUUCUUUGAGUUUUAGUUAAUUGUUUAAGUUUCUAGUCUUGCAAAACUAGAGAAAACCCUUCUUUUUAUUACCUAUUUUUAGUUAGAUCAUUCUAGUAGUUAGUUUAAUUGUUACCGUUCCCUAUGUUUGAUACCCUACUUACUUGAACUGUAUUACCAAUCGAUAGGUACACUGCCUUUCGUAUGUUUAAUUUGUGUUAAAAUAGUAGGAUUAAAACUAGUGCAUCUCACACACAUUAGAAUUCCAGUAUCAAUAGCUCAAGUAUAUGAAUGUCUUGUUUACAGAUUGAGGUGAGUCUUCUCACUAUACUAUGUAGGUUUUUAGAUUGUCUCAGUGACUCUUGCAUGAAAGAAUAUGGUUAAAUCACAACGCUUGUAACACCCGUUUUCCAGUAUGGAUCGAUUUAGAGUUUCAAGGAGUCAAAAGGUCGAUUUGUGGAGAAAAUUGAGUGUCACGACGUAAGCAUUGGGUAGUCAUGAUGUGACAAGGGUAAAUUGAUGUGUUUUAAGCAUAAGAACAAUCCUAUGUGCUCAUACAAACCCUAAUGCUUGGAUCUAGGUUUUUCUAGUGUACAUGAAAUGAAUCCAAGAUUUGCAUCCCUAGAUCUAACAUGUAUAAUUCGAAGUUAACAUCAUAAGAACAGAUCUAAGUGUUUACCUCUUUCAAUUUGCUUUGAAUAAUUUGAAUCUUCUUCAUCUUGAGCUUAGAGUCACAAUUGUAACUCCUCUAUUGGUUCACAAACCCCACAAGCAAGAAGGCUAUUAAGAGAGAGGAGGAAUAACACUAGAAAUCGGCCAUAGGGUUUUACUUGGUGUCAAGCAUCCAAAAAUUGCACCCAAAGGCCUCUAUUUAUAGUGUAGGCUGCUAGGGUUUCAGUCUAAACCCUAAUGGACAACUUAGUCACCAAGCAACCCAUAGAACCUUCUAGAUUAGGGCCUUUGGACGAAAAUAUGAUGGAUCCCCAUCAUAAUUUCGUUCCCCCCCUUAGUCCAUUAGGUUUCCCAGCCCAAAACUCAACUAUCACACUUUUGACAGUUUAUGCCCCUUUAUUCAAUUAAUCUCUUUUAGGCACCAAAUUAAUUCCUAAUUAAUUUAUGACUAAUAUUAAUCAAAUAAUAUGAUUUCUCCUUUAAUAUAUUAUUCUUAUAGUAUAUUAAUAAACCAUAAUAUCUUCUCUCACUUUCUUAAAUAACCUUGUCAAGUUGCUUUGGUGAAGGCAACCCAAAAGGACCAUGCAUAACCGGGUCAAGUACAUAUCAAAUAUAGUUACGGGCUUAGACACUAAUCCAACAGUCUCCCACUUGGAUAAGUCUAUUAACUAUAUCUCACAUAUGACUUCAGGAUCCGAUUAGCAAUCGUAGCUCUUACACGUCGCUGUCAACUCUGAUCAGUAACUCGUCCUUCAGAUAAGGGAUCGUAUAAUCCUCUGUUCUAGAUAUCAUGCUUACAAUACUUAUUGUUCAGCACUUUGUUUCUCAAUCUCUGAUUUGUUCGACAUAGAAUUUAGUUGAACACAUCAACUUCAUUCUGACUGGGCCCGACACAUAAGUCAAACCAAAUCAUCGAGUGGCCAGAUAUCGCUUUUACCCUCUUAGGAUAAAAGGAAUAGAAAACUUCGACUUAUAUGCUUUUAUUAUUCACUAGCUAAGUCACACACAAUAAUGCGUUUUAUAAAAUCAAGUUACUGAUGCGUUUUCACAUUAUCAAUGUAUAAUCAACUAGUAAACAAUAACCAUAUCUCUAGGUUUAAAGAUUAUAUGAUAUUAUCAUCUUGCGAUCACUCAUAAUAAAAUAGUGAUACCAGCAAGCGGGUUUAUUCCAAUGCUCAAAUCAUAUUCAUAAGCACUCAUGAACUUUGUAGCAAACCUUUUCUAUGCCCAAAACCUUUUAGACAAUCUACAAACAAAUUCAUGACAGUCUUCAUUCAUAUCUACUUCCAAAAUAUGAAUGACUGUGGACUGUUUGAAUAAUCUUAUUAUUCAGGAAGUCAAAACAUGCAAAAUUGAAACAACAGAUAAAUAACCAACAUAAUAUAGUAGCUUUACUCAUAAAUAACACAACUUUAUUUAUUCAUCAAAUGUCAAGUACAAAUUAUCUAUUACACGUUUCUUAUCUAUCUAAUCUAGACUUAUAUCGUCCUUCAGCCCAAUGCUCCUAGCGUGCUGCAAGUGUUUGACCCCUACUCAGUCCCUUCAUAAGGGGAUCUGUUGGGUUUUCUUCUGACGAUACCCUCUUCACAACGAGGAGUCCCCAUAUUUCCAUGCAACCUCACUCUCUCUUCUCCCCUCUCUUUUGAUCUCGGCCGAACCCAAACACACACACCCACACUUCACUCAAAAAUCCUCUCAAGAAAACUCUCUCCACUCCUCUCUAUACUUUCGAGAUCUAGAAGGCCUUCAAGGAAAUUCUCCACAAAACUCAUCAUCUACGGUAAGAUAUUUCUUAGAUCCAUAAUCUAGCUACUUCUUUCAUCAAAAAUCACCUCUUCAAAUUCAUGAUCUUGCAUCUUAGAACCCACUAAGUUCAAGAUCCAUCCAAGGAACUUGCUAGGGCCGAAAAUAGCACCAAACUUCUCCAAAUCUUCUUCAAAAACCGAAACCACACUCAAGGUGAGCUUCAUAUCCCCUUUCUUUUGGGUUUUUAUGAGUUUUAUGGGGGAGAAUACAAGAAAAUGUGUAGAUCUAUGUGUAUAUGUAUGCUAUGUAUGAUUUGAUGCAUGUAUGUGUGUGAUUUCAUGUGUUUUGUGAUGUAUAUGUUACCAAGAAGGGGUGUAAACCCGAGAUCUAAGACAUGAGAAAGGAAACAAACAUAACCUAAGCUAUCUUACACUAAACAAAUCAAGAAUAAUAGCUUAUAAGGUCAUGAUGAACAUAUUCUAACAUAGAACUCAUUUUUGGGCUUAAAUUGUCAAAAAUACAAAUUUGGGGUAAAUAUCAACAAGUCACGAUUUUCUGAAGGUUUAAAAGGGUUAAAACAGUUUCCAUAAACAUUUUUCUGAACAUUAGGAAUUUUUAGGGGCUUAAAAUGUAAAAUUUUAGCUUAAUGGGCUAAAUAUGGGCUUCUCGGCCCAUUAAGCCUCAAAAUGGAAAAUGAUAAGUUGAGGGGCUGAAAAUGUAACUUUCCGUAAAACAGAGGGUUAUUAGCAUAAAAAUAUGUUUUUAAGGGUCAAAAAUGCUUUUCACUAUCAAAAGGGACCAAAAAUGUAAACUUUUUAAAUUUUGGGCCAAAACUGUAAAAGUUGUGAAAAAUGGGUUCCUAACCGAGAAACAUUAUUUUGGAGGGGCUGAAGCUGUCAACAACGUAAAAUUUGGGUUAAAAUCGUGUUUUCAACAAUUAUAAUGCAAAAGUGUCAAGAAAAGGGUUUUAAGGACUAAAAAUGAAAUUGUUUUGUAUAAAAGGACCAAAAGUGUUAUUUUUAUAAAAGAAGGGAAGUGAAAAGAGUUAAACUCUAUUUUCAAACAAAUCAAUUCAAAAGACAAGAUUCACGACUACCAACGAAAUGGAAAACAAAUACACUCUCAAUAACAAUUAUCGUUAUAAACGAAUUGAUUCGGUCUCGAAUCAAUAACAAAACAAAACCGUUAAACCAAAGCCAUUCGUUAAACACACGAUAACUAUGAUGAGCUAACUUACAAAUUUUGGGCUUGAAAGUUUCAAAUCAUGUUUGUUGGGCCAUGCUAGCCCAUUAACAUGAUCUUUGGGCCCAAAGGGAAUAUGCUUAUGUGUAAUUGGGCCUCCUAUGACCCGAUUUCAUGUAAAAGGACUUUCGCUGGCUCUAAUGUGCUAUCGGGCCCUAUUGGCCCAUUAGUACUGCUAGUAAGGUCGGGAAGUCAAAUGCGAGUCAGGCCAACGCGUCUUUCGCAUUGCCGAUAGCCUUAAAUAACACAUGGGAAUAACGGGACUUCGUACUCUCCUUUCUCUUUGGUUGUUGGGCUUAUGAGAAAUCAAAGUAAACAGAUUCAGGGCGUUAAACAAGAGUAAUCAGGGUGGGUGGAUUAAGUGAGUAGUAACGGCCGACGCCUUUAAGGAUCGUUCGUAAUCUGUAGUUAUAAACUGGUCAUUUUCUUUAAUGCGUGAUUAUAACAACUCACAAACCUUAAUUAAUCCAACGCCACACGGGAAAUCAAAAUCAUUCGACGUAACGGUAUAACAAUAGAGAAAUCAUUGUAUUUUAUGUAUUGGGAAAACAUCGGAUUUUCCCUGGGAAGUUCAACAUUUUCACUUACGCGAUCUAUACAAAAGUUCAACAAUUAUACAUGUUUUUGAAAAAUCAACGAGCAUAUAUUUAUGGAUCUUCACACGUUUUUCUUUUACAAUAAUCUUUUCAGAAAAUAUCGGAUUUUCUGGGUUUUACAAACUACUUUAAAUCAUUUUACUACAACAUUAAUUAUGAACUCACCAACAUUUCAUAUGUUGACGUUUUUCAAAAAUGACUUGUAUUCUCAGGUGGCAGGUAAACCGAAGAAUAAGUACCAAAUAAUGUUAGGGUGUUUGCUUAUGAUAUCCACCAGACAAUUUUUGUUAUGAAGUUGUAAUGACUAAAACUAUGUACUGGAUGUAAACAAUAUCGGUUGUAUUAUUUUAAUGCAAUUGUGAUGAUUUAUGUUAUGCUUCAUGCAUAUUUAUUGUGAUGGUAUUCAAUUUAAGUCACAAGAGCCCUCGAAUGUUUCCGCCAUCUGAUUCGGGGGUGUGACACUUUUCAUUAUAGUAAAAUGUUGUUUGUACCGAAACCUUUGUUAUCAGUUUAUGGAAUAUGUAUGCAUGUUUUCCAAGAAAAUCCAAUAUUUUCUAACAUGUUUGUUGAUUUCUGUGUAAAGAUAUUUCCAAUUGAAAACCCUGGCUAUUAUCAGUAUGUAGUGUAUGUUCUGUUUGAAACCCUGGUUACCCACCAGUAUGUAAUAUAUAUUCUAUUUGAAAACCCAGGUUACCACCAGUAAGUAAAGUAGUGUAUGUUCUGUUUGAAACCCUGGCUACCCACCAGUAUGUAAUGUAUGUUCUAUUUGAAAACCCUAGUUACCACCAGUAAGUAAAGUAGUUUUAUUACUUAAAAUAAAACCGUAGAAGAAAGGAAUCCCGUAAACAAAAGGUUAGUUGAUACUAUUGUGAGUUCGUAUAACAAUACUAAUAUGACCAAUGAACCUCCUUGACAUUUCUUCAGGCAUCGUACGUUUACAAAACUUGUCACCCCAGGCGUGCCCGCCUAACUGUAGCUAAUAGUUCAGGUGUGGGAUUGUCAGUCCCGAAUAGAUCUAUUCACAAAUUUCACACUCUCCCUCCAGGAGACUCUGGUUAUACUAACAGAGAGGAUUUAUUGGUACCCCGAAGGGCAUGACGAAGAUAAGUCUCACAAUCCUGUAUUAACUAGUUUACGUGUUGUUCUCAAGUUCGAAAUCGAUGUAUACGUAGUAGAGUAUAAAUAAUUAUACACAAAAUAAUUAUUUAGUAAGUGACUCUUGUUGUCUGUAUGGAUAAACUAAAGUUGUCAUAGUUUAUAUGUUUGGCUUUGCACAUAGUUUAUUUUUGUAAAACUGGUAAGGAAAUCCCCAAACUAUACCUAUUAUAGUUUGACAGGUAAGUUAUGUUCAUGUACCGUUCUGAAAACUAUGAAAUCAUGUUUAGAAAACGUCCCUUAUGCUCCGCAUUUUACAAAAGGGAUAAAGUAUUAAAACCAUUAUAAUUGCAUUAGUUUUUUUUAAGUUGUGAAAACCUUUAUGUUUGGCUUGUAUCCCCCCUGAAAAACGUUGUCAAAGCUUAUAAAAGUGUAGGGGUAUAAACUCAUUGUUUGACGUAGGAUUAUGGUGUACGAUCGGUUAUGAGCGUUGAGUGUCAGCUGAUGUUUCGUAUGCAAGUGGGUCCUAUCAGUAUAUGGUAACACGUAUACGUAUUAGAUUAGAGUGUUUCAUGACAAAACAUGAUGGGAAACCACCCUAACGACCUUGAUACACUAGCACUAAUUGUUGGAUCCAUAAAUAGUCAACUAGGGAGUGUAUGGUCACAAAAUCACGGAUUUUGAUGUGUGUGCGGCCAGAGAGUGCGGCCAGGAAGUGUGUGUGGCUGCACACAGGAGUAUGCGGCCGUACAGAGGUGCGUGCGGCUGUAGAUAGGAGUAUGCGGCCAUACACUCCUCAAUUAUGCUCCAAAGUCGAUUUUUGAGGUGUUCUAGGGUUCAAACCAAGUCUAACUCGAAUAUAGGGGGCCAAACUCUCACUUUGGAGGGUCUUUGGGGGGUGCACGGCCACCAUAUGAAGGUGUGCGGUCGUACACCUUCAAGUGAUGAAGAACACGAAGAACAAUGGAGAGUUUUGGGCUUAGAUUAAGGGUUCUUACUAGAUAAUAAGUUGAAUGAUGGAGUACUUCACGUUUUUGAGACCCUUAGAGUGUUCUUGAAGGAUUUUUCUAGAGAGAGAAAGUAGAGAGAGAAGUAGAGUGCAACCAAAGAGGGAAAAGAGUGAAUGAAGGGGUGACCCUCUAUAUAUGGGGGUGAGUAUGCGGCUUGGGGGCACACCCAUGUGUGCGGCCGUACACACCUCUCAUGAGUGUGUAUAGCUCGGUUUUGCUUCUAUACGACAUGUGGACUCAUUCCUAAACUCAUUCCUAGCUGUUCUCUCGCUUAGAACUCUUAAACAAACCCUUAAACGACGUUAAAAGAUAACUGAAUCGAGUUAGACAUUGAUAUAGUUGACCAAUCAUACAAGGUGGAAGUUCCGGGUUGUCACACUAUCCUAUCCGUUCGGCUAACGACCCUCCACCAGUCAAGAAGGCGGUGGGUGUGAGUGUACACCUAUUAAGCGUCAUUUUAUAGGUAGCAACCUUAUACCCACCUUAUAGACCGGCUUCGUGAAUGAGGCCUACUAGCGAUAAGACUAGCUUUAUUCUUAUACAUACAUACAUAUAUGUAUGUGUGUAUAUAUAUAUAUAUAUAUANAGAUAAAGUAUAAGGUUGAUUUUUAAACUCGUAAAAAUCGAAGGGUUGAAAUUUAAAACUUUCAAUAAUUAAACUUUUAAUCAAAGAAUUUAAAUUUCAAAACUUGAGGGCAAGUUUUGAACUUUUCAAAACACAAGGGAUCAAAUAACAAAUAAUAUAAAUCAAACAAUUAAUUUAGUGAUUAUCUAUAUUUGACCUAAUUGAAUUUCUUGCAAGAUAAGUUACCCAAUUAAUUCAAAUAAUCAAUUUUAAUCAUAUAAGGAAUUUAUUAUCUAAUCAAUUGGUAAUUAUCUUGUGUUUUAGGAAGGAUAAUCUUUCAAUAACAAUAAAGUUCAUAUUUUAUCAGUUUAAAACAUAUAUGGCAAUUAUCCUUAAGCAAAACAGCAAGAAAAUCCGAAAAUUCCACUGUCAGACGCUCCGACUCGCCGAGUCACUCACUGGGCUCACCGAGUCCAUGAAGUGACUUGCCGAGUGUCACACCCCCAAACCAAGGAUGGCGGAAACGUUCAAGGGUGGAGGACUUCAUGUACAGUAUCACAACAACGUGUAUAAUAGUGCUCAAAGUAAAUACAACCACCAUAAAUAUAAUUGAAAAAGUUACACCAAAGUAUAUGUUUACAUGUUCCAAAAUCAAUUACAUUAUGAUGACAAAAAUAAAUUGUUGACGGUUUAACGUCCCAUCCUCAAAACGCUGAAGUUUUCCUGUGUCACUGAUUUCCUGAGAAUACAAGUAGUUUUGAAAAAGUGUCAACAAUUAAGUUGGUGAGUUCAUAAGAGUUUUGUUUGAAGUAGAAACCGUUUUCCUUGUAAAAUCGAUAGAGUUUGAUUUCCAGAAAAUCCGAUAUUUUCUUAGUUAAGUGUGAACAGACUAUUCCUAUAUGAUGCGUUAAUUAAUGACCCGUAGAUUUCCCCUAUAAUCGUCCAGCGUAUAUAAGUUAUAUAAGAUUUAAGUUAGAUAAAAUGUUGAAUAUAGUGGGUCUGCCCUAGGUCCACAACCCAACGAGGAACAGGAGAUGAGGCGGGCACCACCAAUUCUAAGCCAAUCAAGACUAAAUUCUUAUAUGACUCAAGCAUAUACGCUCAACGAUUAUAGUUGAAGUCUAACAAUUCUAGAUGAAAUAUAGUUUUAAUAUCAUAACAACUAUUUUAUGUGAACCUGGUACUUUGGAAUGUACCCCAUUUGUAGUUAAAAACCCGGUACUUUGUAUCUGUACCCCUUUUUGUAUAAAACCUGGUACUUUGGAAUGUACCCCAUUUGUAGUUAAAAACCCGGUACUUUGUAUCUGUACCCCUUUUUGUAUAAAACUCGGUACUUUGUAUCUAUACCCCUUUUGUAAUUAAAAAUCCGGUACUUUGUAUUUGUACCCCUUUUUGUAUAAAAACCCGGUACUUUGGAAUGUACCCCAUUUAUGUGAAAACCCGGUACUUUGGAAUGUACCCUAUUCGUGUGAAAACCUUUUGUAAUGUAAUGAUCAUAAACUAUACCUAUUAUAGUUUAUCAAAAUGUUUGAAAUGUACAUGCAACCUAACUAUACUUAUUAUAGUUUAGUAUGUUUAUUUGUGGUGUAUUUGAACCCUUUCUAUGUAAGUCAAAUGUAUAGUACAAUAUAGCUAUGUUUAUCUUGCUUUGUUUUGUACUAAUGGUUAUGAUGGAGGAUUCUUAUAAUUUCAGUAAGUAAUUUUCCUAUUAUAUAAAUAUAUCAUUACAAGAAAUACAUGUAAUAUAUGAAGUCAUCAAAGAUUUAACACUUUGCUCAACAUGUUACAAAGUGUUUUGAAAGUUAGAAGCUGUUAACUAACUCUUAACCUUUCUGCACUGUUUUAGAAAAAUCAUAGAAAAAUAAUACGAAGUCAAAAACUAGAUCCAUAAAUUUUGAGAGUUCCUAAAUUGUGUCUAGUUUGCUCAUAAUUUUUAUCAUGAUUUUUGGAAGCCUUUAACUUGUAUUAAAAUGCUCAUAUUCACAGACUGGUCCGGACUUCUGUUUGAAAAGACAGACUGUUUUGUAAAAAUCACCAUAAAUUGUAAAAAAAUCGUGUGGAUAUGUGCAAGUAUUCAUUUUAAAGCUAAGAAGUGGAACUACUUGUACCUAAAACAUUUUUGAAAACUAAAAUGUUUAAGUUGUCCAAAACAGUCCGUGAAUGGAGUUGAACUUUUCUGAUGAAGGCUGUUAGAAAAGUUUAGUUAUGUUCUUGGUGUUUUAACUUGUAUUCUCCCCCUAAAAACUUGAGAAAACAUGAAAAUGUAGGGGUAUGAACUCAACUUGAGUGAUUUCAGAAGAUGGAUGAUUGAGAAAAGAAGUGUUCAACUCAAAAACACUCGGGAGAUGCUUGAAGAUUUGAGGAGCUAAUCAACAAAUAUGACGAUAUUUGUGUAAGCAAUCAAUGAUUUGAGUAGAAUCAAGUGUAAUAAUCACAAGGAGGAUGAAUUAUACUUACCAAGAGAAGAAUAAAGCUUGAAAAUCAGCCUUGGAGUCUUGAAAUAGAGAGAAAAAGUUUGAGAGAAAAGUUGUGUUUGAUUUUUGGUGAAAUGAGAGCAAGUGAAAGAAAAUGAGGAGAGAGGAUGAGUGUCCAGCUCUCAAAACGUGGGAAUAAAUUGUGAGAGAGGGAAAAAGUACAAUGAAGUGACAAGGUAUGGUGGGGAGGNUUUGUGUAAGCAAUCAAUGAUUUGAGUAGAAUCAAGUGUAAUAAUCACAAGGAUGAUGAAUUAUACUUACCAAGAGAAGAAUAAAGCUUGAAAAUCAGCCUUGGAGUCUUGAAAUAGAGAGAAAAAGUUUGAGAGAAAAGUUGUGUUUGAUUUUUGGUGAAAUGAGAGCAAGUGAAAAAAAUGAGGAGAGAGGUUGAGUGUCCAGCUCUCAAAAACGUGGGGAUGGCUUGUGAGUGAGGUAAAAAGGACAAGGAAGUGACAAGGUAUGGUGGGGAGGAGUGUGGGUUAGUCAUGGAGUAGGUAUGGUGGUUGCUUGUGUCAUAGAAUAAAGGAAAGUCAACACUCCACCUCUUGUACUUCACCCACUCUUUUUGGAUAAGGUUUUAUCCUGAAAAACGUGAUAAAUCAUUAAUUAUGGGUCCUUAUAUGUUAAAAUAAAGUUUUGGGUGAAAAUACCACGUUAAAACAAUUAAAAACGAAGCUAAAAUGCGAAACUACUCGAAAACCGGGAGAAAAGAAGCUUCCCAGCGAGACCUCUCGGUCCUGGCCGAGGUUCGGUCCUCCUGAGGCUGGGCGAGAAGCGAAGCGGAGCAGAUCAACAAGCGGGGUUUCGGUUCAUAGCAGGUUCGAUCCCUAUAGGGACCUUCGGUUCUAAGAGGACUUUCGGCCCUAAGAGGGGUUUCAGGUCCUUAAGAGGGGUUUCGGGUCCUCAAACUUAUUGUACUCGUUUUUACCCCGUUUUAAGCCGUUUUUUACUCGGUUAAGGGUCGGAAUGACCCGAAUGACUUUAAAAAGUUACGGAAACUUUUGAGAGAGAUUUGGGAGAGAUUUCACAUACAAAGAGAUAUUUGGGAGAGAUUUCACAUACUUAGAGAGAUUUGGGAGAGAUUUGACAUUCUUGGAGAGAUUUCACAUACAAAGAGAUAUUUGGGAGAGAUUCCACAUACUUAGAGAGAUUUAGGAGAGAUUUGACAUUUUUGGAGAGAUUUCACAUACUUAGAGAUAUUUGGGAGAGAUUCCACAUACUUAGAGAGAUUUGGGAGAGACUUUCGAUAAGAAGAGAUAGAGUGAAAACGAUUGAGAGAGGUUUCAUUUGUGACCUUUUUGAGUGUCCGGCUUCGCAAUGCAAGGUCCGUAAACCCUGUUAAGCCUUGUUUAAGGAUCUUACACACUCCCGAUGAGUAUGCAACAUUGUUUUAUCGGUUUGGCUCGUCACCUACCACAGUUUUAGGUUAAGGAGAUCUAGAUGUACGUACUUUUCGAUUUAUGAUCUCUCAUUAGAAUAGCGAGUUGUUUAGUAAUUACAUAACAUAAGCCCUAGUACACAAGGGUUAGUUGAGUUGACCGGUUUGACUUGUUGACUUUAUUUGACUUUGAAUUGACCAGAAUUUGACGAUUGUCAAAACGAGUCAGUUCGAACAGAGGGCCAAAAAACGAUUUUCAGCAAAUAAGCAGUUGUAGCAUCACAUACAACAGAAACCAAUCAAGGCUCUGAUACAACUGAUGAGUUUUAUGCAUAAGAACAAUCCUAUGUGCUCAUACAAACCCUAAUACUUGGAUCUAGGUUUCUCUAUUGUACAUGCAAUGAAUCCAAGACUUGCAACCCUAGAUCUAACAUGUAUAAUUCGAAAUUAACAUCAUAAGAACAGAUCUAAGUGUUUACAUCUUUCAAUUUGCUUGGAAUCCUUUGAAUCUUCUUGAUCUUGAGCUUAGAGUCACAAUUAUAACUCCUCUAAUGGUUCACAAACCCCACAAGCAAGAAGGCUAUUAAGAGAGAGGAGGAAGAACACUAGAAAUCGGCCAUAGGGUUUUACUUGGUGUCAAGCAUCCGAAAAUUGCACCUAAAGGCCUCUAUUUAUAGUGUAAGCUGCUAGGGUUUCAAUCUAAACCCUAAUGGACAGCUUAGUCACCAAGCAGCCCAUAGAACCUUCU
rnacentral:lncRNA from 1 species